AGUUGCUGAGCAGCAGCUCUCAGUCAUGAAGUGUUAAAGUCACAGGGCUAUAAACACUCGCAGAGCACUGAAGCAUGGACUGCCAAUGCAAAGUGUGUGUGUGUGUGUGUGUGUGUGUGUGUGUGCAGUGCAGUGUGAGGGAGGUUUUUGUACGAUGGCUUCAUUAGAUUGUAUCACUGUGGUACACUUUUGGUGAAGGCACCAGAAUCAUCAUUAAAACUGGUCCCACAGUGAAGCCCUCCGUGUCUCUGCUCCCUCCGUCUCCUCUGCAGCUGUGUGAGGGAUCGGCCUCGCUGCUCUGCCUGCUGUCUGACUACUCUCCACAGGGGGCGCUGGUGAGCUGGACAGUGGACGGCUCAGAGGUGAAGGACGGGGUUCUGACCAGCGCAGAAGAAGAGAAGAAGGGCGGUUUCACACGCAGCAGCACCCUGACCCUCAGCAAAGACCUCUGGGAAAAAGCGGAGGAGUUUAUCUGUACGGUCUCCCAUGACAACAUCAAUCAUCCAGUCACGUUCAGAAAGAGUCAGUGUGAAGGCUAGUGGCUCCAAGAGAGAGUUUAACAUAGAGCUGCUUAUGAUCCAUCUACAAUAGAGUUUCAAUUCUACACAAUGCUGCCAUUUCUGUCUUUACUCUGUUCACUGUCCUGUUGCUCUUCCUGUAGCUUUUGCUGAAAUAAAGCUGAAUUUCGGA